rnacentral:tRNA from 1 species
GGGGUUGUAGCUCAGUGGUAGAGCACUUGCCUAGCAUGUGUGAGGCCCUGGGUUCCAUCCCCAGCACCACA